CAAUAGCGUAUAUUAAAGUUGUUGCAGUUAAAAAGCUCGUAGUUGAACCUUGGGUCUGGCUGGCCGGUCCGCCUCACCGCGAGUACUGGUCCGGCUGGACCUUUCCUUCUGGGGAAGCCUCAUGCCUUCACUGGCUGUGGGGAGGACCAGGACUUUUACUGUGAAAAAUCAGAGUGUUUCAAGCAGGCAGCUCGCUCUUGCAUGGAUUAGCAUGGGAUAAUGAAAUAGGACUUUGGUGCUAUUUUGUUGGUUUCGAACACCGAAGUAAUGAUUAACAGGGACAGUCAGGGGCACUCGUAUUCCGUCGAGAGAGGUGAAAUUCUCAGACCAACGGAAGACGAACCACUGCGAAAGCAUUUGCCAGGGAUGUUUUCACUGAUCAAGAACGAAAGUUAGGGGAUCGAAGACGAUUAGAU
rnacentral:rRNA from 1 species